CACACGACUCUCGGCAACGGAUAUCUCGGCUCUUGCAUCGAUGAAGAACGUAGCGAAAUGCGAUACCUGGUGUGAAUUGCAGAAUCCCGCGAACCAUCGAGUCUUUGAACGCAAGUUGCGCCCGAGGCCUUCUGGCCGAGGGCACGCCUGCCUGGGCGUCACGC
rnacentral:rRNA from 1 species